CUACGUGCCAGCAGCCGCGGUAAUACGGAAGGUCCAGGCGUUAUCCGGAUUUAUUGGGUUUAAAGGGAGCGUAGGCUGGAGAUUAAGUGUGUUGUGAAAUGUAGACGCUCAACGUCUGACUUGCAGCGCAUACUGGUUUCCUUGAGUACGCACAACGUUGGCGGAAUUCGUCGUGUAGCGGUGAAAUGCUUAGAUAUGACGAAGAACUCCGAUUGCGAAGGCAGCUGACGGGAGCGCAACUGACGCUGAAGCUCGAAGGUGCGGGUAUCGAACAGGAUUAGAUACCCUGGUAGUCCACGCCGUAAACGAUGAGUGCUAGGUGUUAGACCCUUUCCGGGGUUUAGUGCCGUAGCUAACGCAUUAAGCACUCCGCCUGGGGAGUACGACCGCAAGGUUGAAACUCAAAGGAAUUGACGGGGGCCCGCACAAGCGGUGGAGCAUGUGGUUUAAUUCGAUGCAACGCGAAGAACCUUACCUACUCUUGACAUCCAGAGAACAUUC
rnacentral:rRNA from 1 species